rnacentral:lncRNA from 1 species
UCUUUGGUUUCAAGGUACAUUUUUAAAUGACAGCAGGUGAUUUAUAUAUUAACAAAGAUAUGUUUGAAAUAUGUUCAGAAAAGUCAAUGGAACAUACCAAAAUGGUUUCUGUUUAAAGGCAUAGGGAGUAGGCUCUCAGCAACCUCCCAUGGAACAUUGGAUUUCUAGAAACUAGCUAUUGACCCAAAAUGAGCAAUGUAUAUCCUACCCUGCUGUUGUCACUCUGAAUGACAUUGUCACAUCAUGGGGAAUGUAGCCUGCGAUCAGUAGCCAUUACAGAAUAAUGUCUGUAGGUUCAAGAUUUGUCCCUUGUGAAUUUUGAAGGAAAAAAUAUUUGACAACCUGCAUGUUUCGUCUGCCAGCAAAAACAUAAUGCUUCAUCAUAUUUCUACCAAUCACCCCUCACACUUGCCUUGACUCUUUGGGGUUUCCAACAGCCUUUGAAGGCUGGGUGACUUAAUUUAGUGUUGCCUGAACUUAAAGGCUGACUGUUCCAAACAUACAUAGGAGAAUCAAUGAAAAUCUUCCUGCUUUCCUAAGCAAUGAGGUCGAUUAGAUAAACAUUUCCAUUUAUUUAUUUAUUGAUUUACUAUUUGUAGAUUAUUCUCUUAAUUGCCUGAUAUCUGCUUAGGGUCUCACCUUGCCCUUCAACCUCUUUUGAGAACAAAACAUACUUUUUGGCCCUUUCUUCCUCUGCCCGAGCAGACCCUUUGGAGCUGCCGUUCUUAUUAGUGAGUACCUGGAAAAGAUUGGAAAUUUGUCUCAGAAACUGACGUCAAGGGUGAUCUGAGACUUGAAUAAGGCAUCUUCUUCUUUGAGCCUUCCUGUGGCAAAGGCAAAGUGGCCACGUGUGCCACACACCUUUCAUAGUCCUUGUCUACAGAGAGCUUUCCAGUUUUAGAAACUGGAUUAUUUUGGAAGAGUAGGGGAGAUAGGAGUCAUUUUUUCUCCCCCCUGUUGGACUUUUGAGCAUAACUAAGCAAAUCACUGUUAAAGUACCAUCAUAUGCACUAGUGCUACAGAGGAGCAGAAGGACAGUGGUUGGAAGGAUAUCUCCCUAAAGCCAGACAGGCUUCUGUACACCUACCACACCUCGUCACAAAGGACAAACAGGAAAUAAGGAAGAAAACCAUUACAUCAAGGACUGGCAUUCCCAGGAGGCUCCUUGUUUGUCUGUUCUUGGGUCUCCAGUGAUGUUUCUUUUCUCCACUUCCUCUGCUGGGAUCCAUCUGUAAUGAGCAGAAAUGGUUUAAGGACAUGGGUCUAUUUUCUCUGAAGUUAAAUACUUCUUAUUCAGACAGAUUCUACUUUUCAAAAGAAACUGACCUAUGGCAGUUUCCUACUGAUUUCUGCAGUAUGGAAAGAGUUUUAAGAUAUGUAAAAUACAAAAAAAGCUAAAUAAAAGCUGGUUCUCUGUGCCUUUCGUAGAAGUGGGAGGGGACUGAGCAGAUGGACAUGAUGCGGUGUCCGGGGAUGGUAUGGCGAGUUGCCUGCCACUUCCUUCCUACAGCUGAGCCUGUGCCAAUGAAAACACUUCUGAUUGAAAAUUUUUCUGGUCUUUAAAUUAUUCUCUUGCUCUGUAAUACUGUUCCUAAGGACUUUUCAGAGAUCUCCUUUAAACACAAGGAUCCCUUAGUCAUUAUUGGCUCAGCAGGGGGUGGAAUGCUAUCUAAUUCUCCCUAAAUGUAGGAGCUUUGUAGAACUAUUGCUGAUCUUUUCAGAACAGGUAUUUUGCCUGAUAGUGGCAGGGCAAAUGGGCAAUGCUUUACAAUGGAAGGCUGUCUGAGCUUCCAGAGGAGUUUACCAUGCAUUGAGUUCUGAUAGCAAAGACCCAUACUAGUGCAUUUGAUCACCACUCUUGUUCUGUGAGUAGCUGCCUUUGUACACAGAGAUAAGGCACAUUGAAUUACAGGGCCACCAGGGUGCGAAUACACACCAGUCUUCCAUGUUAUUUCCAUAACUGAAGGGUGGUGUUGUUAACCGGCUUCAUGCCAUUCCAGGGCUUGGGUGGAAUCAAAUUAGAUUAGCUUUGCAUCAACCAGAGACUGUGCUGGCAAACAUCAGACAUAUAUGGCCAUGCUUUCU